rnacentral:lncRNA from 1 species
UGGGCAUGAAUGGUUUUCUUCUUCAUGUGUAAAAUUAGGCUUCAGAUGUGUCAUAUGCCUGAAGUGCAUUGUUGCCCUGUAUGCAGAUGGUAAGAACACGUAUGUCUCGAUACCUUUCUCUUAGCCUGUAUGCUUUAUCACUCAAGAGCCUGACAGAUGCAUAUAGGCAAAUUCACUCGCUGCUCUCUCUGUUGAUUGUUAAUACUUUUGGCAAUGAUGCUGUAAUUUGGCAAACUGAAUCUUGUUUGGGGAGGAGUACUGAAAGCAGUGAAGAAAUGGCACAAUUUUAGUUCUGAACCUUAUACUUCUUCAAAUAUGAGGUUUUUACAAUUCUGUACUUUGGAAAAAAGUAAGGGAAAAAGAACUAGUUUUAUAUUUAAUGCAGAACCUGAAAAAUUUAUGUCAUUUUAUUUUGAAAUGCUGUUGAAUAAUGUCCCUGAAUCAUUUUAAGUGUGCGUUGGAUGAGAUAGAGAAUUGUAAGUGAUGUCAGAUUAAAAAGUAAAAGUACAGUCUAUGGACAGAGUCUCUAAAAAUGGUUUUAAUAUAGUAGAACACCUUUAAUAUGAAUCAUUAUUAGGGAAAAAUGUGUAUUUGUAUAUUGCAAAUUAUUUUUCUGUGGCAGAACACAUGCAGCUAUUACUAAUGUAACAUCUUUAGCUAGUAAAAUGGACAUUAAUACUACCUCUAACCUAGGAAGUGGCUUUGCUGUACCUAGGCCUUCAACUGUAUAAAAUUAGAAUCCAUUAGCUCGUAGAGUAGACAUUCAUACUACCUUUAAUCUAGUAAAUGGUUGUGCUGUACCCAGAGCAGUUAACAUCAAUGCCUCUUUAGUUGUCCUAAUUAUGCUGAUGUUAAGUUCAGUGAACAUUUGUUUAGGGCCUACAGUAUGCCUAGCAGUGUGCUAAAGAUUGGAGAAAUACAGAGCCCAAAAACAUGUUGAUCCUUGUUUUCAGGGAGUUUAUAAUCUAAUUUGGUAAUGGAAACAGAAACAUAAAACUAACUGCCUAAAUCAUAUGAACGGUUGGUAGACAAUGCCAUACAGACAGAUAAAAAGGGCUGUUGGAGUAGAGAGAAGGGACGUAGUAAUUUACAGGAAUCCAAAGAAGGCUGUUAGGGCUCAAGAAAUGAGCUAGAAAGAUGAGUACAGUUUCUUCAGACAGGAAUGUGAGGAAUGAGGCUCUUGGUUGCUGGGAUUAGCACCAGGAAAGGUAAGUCACUGGGCAUUUCAGGAGCGACCAAGGGGGUCAGUGAGUGGAUUUUAGCUCGUGUGGUCAGAGUGAGGAGACUUGUAAGAGGUGAGGCUGAAAGAUUAGGGCUGCUGAAGGCUUCGGUUGCUGAGAUAAAGAGUUGCCCGUGGGUAGCUCUUUAAGUCUUGGAGCAGUUGUAAUUAGAUUGCCUUUUAGAUGACAACUCUGACAGCAAAAUGGAAGAUGGAUUGGAGAAGGGAGAAAGUAGAGUCAGAGGAAGAGGAUAUUUUAAGCAGGCUUUAAAGUUUUCAUAUAAAAUAUUAUCUACAUCUUUACAUGUGUGGGGUACAGCAAAUAAAGAUAUAAAACAGGAAACAAACUACAGGCUUAUUCAUUUCAUUAAUUUAAAAAAUUUUAAUUGAGCACCUGCUACAAGCCAGUGAUACUUUUAAGGGCUGUGGAUGUAGUCGUGAGCUAGACAGAUAUGGGCUCUGCCCUCAGGGAGCUUACCUUCUGUUGGGGAGGGGUGAUCAGGUCAAAUCAACAAAUUAAUAAGCAAGUCUUUUCAGGUUAUGGUAACAGCUACGAAGAAACAAGUUGACUGAUAUGAUGCUAGUAUAUAGAUUAAAUGGGGUUGAGUGUCAGGGUCUUGCUAGCUAAGGUCCUCUGGAAAAGCCUUUCUGAAGAAAUGAAAUAUGGAAAGAUAAGUAGACUAGUAUUCUAGUACUUUGGGUAUAAUUGGUGACCUCAGUUAUGAAUAUAGCUUUGAUUAAAUGAUGCUUGGAGUUUUUUUUUUUUUUUUUUUUUUUACAAAAGCUACUUUUUCCUAUUUUGUUGUACAAUAUCCCCUGUUCACCUCACUAGAAAUCUAUUUCUCUGAGAAAUCCCUUCCAGGCAACAGAUUUGUUAGCAUCCCUCUUUUCGUUCUGUGAUGAGAAUUGUAUAGUCAAUAUAGUCAUCUUCUUUCCCUUGUAUGUUAGGAAGUUCAGAGCUCAAAAUUUGUGUUCAUUUGUUUGUUUUCCUCUAUUUGGAGUCUGAUAUCAUCUUCUACUUCUUGUCUGCUUUCAUCAUUGGAUUUUGUGUUUUCAUGUGUUGGUUUUUGCAGCUUUCAAUUAAGUGAAGUGUCAAGUCAUUACUUUUAAUAAUGAAUCAAUAAAAAUUAGUCUUCAUAUUUGAUGCAUGGGAUCUGGCCAAGUACAGAAACAGCAGGAAUGGACAGAUUCUGGAGAUAUUGAGGACAGAGAACUGGGCGAUGGUGGGUAAGGGAGGAGGAGGAGGAGGAAGAGAAGAUGACCACACCACUGAGAGAAGGCCAAGGCUAUUUUCUUUUUCUCUCUUUCUCUCUCUCUUUCUUUCUUUCUUUCCUUCUUUUUAUCUUUUUAGGGCCACACCCACAGCAUAUGGAAGUUCGUCGGGCUAGGGGUUGAAUUGGAGCUGUAGCUGACGGCCUACACCACAGCUCUUGGCAAUACCGCCGGAUCCCUAACCCACUGAGCGAGGCCAGGGAUUGAACCUGGGUCAUUAUGGAUGCCAGUCAGAUUUGUUUCCGCUGGGCUGCAAUGGGAACUCCUAUUUUCAAACACUGGCAUCCCAGGAGGAAGAGCAGAGCUGAGGAAAGGAUAAAGACUUGGAUUUUAGAUUAACUAUUGGUCACAUACCCUCUUGAAAUGAUGAACAGUUAAUUAAAAAGAGUGCUAGAACACAAGAGGAGGGUUUUGGUUAGGAAUACAGACUUGAGUAUAGUUGAAGACUUGGAAAUAAAUGGAGCUAUUAAGGGAGGGACUGUUUCUAGAGAAGAUUUGAGGGCUACAGACAGACCCCUGAGGGAGGUCUACAGUAAGUGAUGAAGGGAGAGAAGCCCACAUCUCCCAGCCCAUGGCAUGUUAGUACACUGUCAUCACACCCACACCCACAGUCCUCAUCCUUCAGCUGACUAGUUGUCAUUCAUCCUUCAGGGUGUGUCUCAGACAUCCUAUAUGGCACCUGGUUGAUCCCCACUUGUCUGAGAGGGUUGCUUCUCUUCUGCCCCUACAGUCCUUGUCACAGGACUUAUGACAUGGUAUUUGAAUUGCUCAAUUAGUUUUUUCUCCCCACUGCCCUGUCAACCCAUUCACAAAUGUAUCUCAAGUGUAGCUGGUGCUCAGUAUGCAUCUGGUAAGUGAAUAAAUAAACUGGAAAGAGUCAUCCUAAACAUGAGAGGGCUGCUGUCUCAGAGAUGUCAGGGGAAGAGAGACGAGUGUCUAAAGGGAGGGAUGCACAGUCACCAUAAUAGUGUUCAUGAUAGGCCUCCUAUCUCAGUCACUGUGGCUGCUAAGAACAAGGUGUCAGCAAGUUAGUUUUCAUUCUGAGGCCUCUUUUCAAGGCUUGGAGGUGGCAGCCUUCUCAAUGUGUGCUCACAUGGCGGAGAGAGAGCAAGCAAGAUCUCUGGUGUAUCUCGCAAGGACUCUCAUCCUCUUGGAUCAGGGCCCCACCCUUGUGACCUUGUUGGAUCUUAAUUAGCUCCACAAAGACCUUGUCUCCAAAUAUAGUCAUAUUGGGGAUUGGGGCUCUACAUGAAUUUCAGGGUAGACACAAAAUUAAGUCCAUAGUGCCUCCCUCAUAGCUGGGUACUCGUUGUGGUUGAUAGAGUGAGAGAGAGAGAGAGAGAGAGAGAGAUUGAUUCCUAGUUGGAAAUCAUAUAAUGAAUAAUCCACAGUGGGUGGCAUCUGCCUUGCUCUGAAUCCUGAUCCAAAGGACUUUACUGGAAUGACCCAGAUAUACCUAGCUAAAAUAAAUCAUAUGUAAUCCAGUAUUUUUUAUGACUGAUCUUGCAGAAUUUCUCCUGUUCUUUUUAUUCACUUGAUGAUGACUGAACGUGCUUAGGCUCUAGCUUGAAAAGAAAUUGCAUGAGUCAGGGAAUUCCCAUCGUGGCUCAGCAGAAAUGAAUCUGACUAGCAUUCACGAGGACGCAGGUUCAAUCCCUGGCCUCACUUAUUGGGUCAAGGAUCCAGCGUUGCCAUGAGUUGUGGUGUAGGUUGCAGAUGCAGCUCGGAUCCUGUGUUGCUGUGGCUGUGGCAUAGGCUGGCAGCUGUAGCUUCGAUUCAGCCCCUAGUCUGGGAACCUCCAUAUGCUGUAGGUGC